rnacentral:rRNA from 1 species
UACGGGGGGGGCAAGCGUUGUUCGGAUUCAUUGGGCGUAAAGGGUGCGUAGGCGGUCGUGCAAGUCGGAUGUGAAAUCUCGGGGCUCAACCCCGAAACUGCAUUCGAUACUGCGUGGCUCGAGUACUGGAGAGGAGACUGGAAUUUACGGUGUAGCAGUGAAAUGCGUAGAUAUCGUAAGGAAGACCAGUGGCGAAGGCGAGUCUCUGGACAGUUACUGACGCUGAGGCACGAAGGCCAGGGGAGCAAACGGG